rnacentral:rRNA from 1 species
UGGGCCCGCGGCCUAUCAGCUUGUUGGUGGGGUAAUGGCCUACCAAGGCGACGACGGGUAGCCGACCUGAGAGGGUGAUCGGCCACACUGGGACUGAGACACGGCCCCUACUCCUACGGGAGGCAGCAGUGGGGAAUAUUGCACAAUGGGCGCAAGCCUGAUGCAGCGACGCCGCGUGAGGGAUGACGGCCUUCGGGUUGUAAACCUCUUUCACCAGGGACGAAGCGGAAGUGACGGUACCUGGAGAAGAAGCACCUGCCAACUACGUGCCAGCAGCCGCGGUAAUACGUAGGGUGCGAGCGUUGUCCGGAAUUACUGGGCGUAAAGAGCUCGUAGGCGGUUUGUCGCGUCGUCUGUGAAAUUCUGCAACUCAAUUGCAGGCGUGCAGGCGAUACGGGCAGACUUGAGUACUACAGGGGAGACUGGAAUUCCUGGUGUAGCGGUGAAAUGCGCAGAUAUCAGGAGGAACA